CUCUGUGACUCCUACGGGAGGCAGCAGUGGGGAAUUUUGGACAAUGGGGGCAACCCUGAUCCAGCAAUGCCGCGUGAGUGAAGAAGGCCCUCGGGUUGUAAAGCUCUUUUGUCAGGGAAGAAACGGUGAUCUCUAAUAUAGAUUGCUAAUGACGUUAGCAACAGAAGAAGCACCGGCUAACUCCGUGCCAGCAGCCGCGGUAAUACGGAGGGUGCGAGCGUUAAUCGGAAUUACUGGGCGUAAAGCGCAUGCAGGUGGUUUGUUAAGUCAGAUGUGAAAGCCCGGGGCUCAACCUCGGAACUGCAUUUGAAACUGGCAGACUAGAGUACUGUAGAGGGGGUAGAAUUUCAGGUGUAGCGGUGAAAUGCGUAGAGAUCUGAAGGAAUACCGGUGGCGAAGGCGGCCCCCUGGACAGAUACUGACACUCAGAUGCGAAAGCGUGGGGAGCAAACAGGAUUAGAUACCCUGGUAG
rnacentral:rRNA from 1 species